rnacentral:ribozyme from 1 species
ACUAAUCUACUCUGUAAUGGGAUGGAAUCCGAAGCCCCUUUGUGGGAUAAUACAGGCUCUCCCAUCUCACUCCUAUUGUCCUUGUCGUGCAGAGUGGUAACAUAUGCCUACCAAUAUGCAAUUUAGGGUAUGGUUUCCAACUCUCUGGCUGACGGGGGCACAUGGCAAAUCAGAAGGGA